rnacentral:tRNA from 1 species
GGGGCUAUAGCUCAACUGGGAGAGCGCCGCCCUUGCAAGGCGGAGGUUUGCGGUUCAAGUCCGCAUAGCUCCA